rnacentral:rRNA from 1 species
GACGAACGCUGGCGGCGUGCUUAACACAUGCAAGUCGAACGGUAAGGCCCUUCGGGGUACACGAGUGGCGAACGGGUGAGUAACACGUGGGUGAUCUGCCCUGCACUUCGGGAUAAGCCUGGGAAACUGGGUCUAAUACCGGAUAGGACUCCUGCCUGCAUGGGUGGGGGUGGAAAGCUUUUGCGGUGUGGGAUGGGCCCGCGGCCUAUCAGCUUGUUGGUGGGGUGAUGGCCUACCAAGGCGACGACGGGUAGCCGGCCUGAGAGGGUGACCGGCCACACUGGGACUGAGAUACGGCCCAGACUCCUACGGGAGGCAGCAGUGGGGAAUAUUGCACAAUGGGCGCAAGCCUGAUGCAGCGACGCCGCGUGAGGGAUGACGGCCUUCGGGUUGUAAACCUCUUUCAGCACAGACGAAGCGCAAGUGACGGUAUGUGCAGAAGAAGGACCGGCCAACUACGUGCCAGCAGCCGCAGUAAAAC